UACGUAGGGUGCGAGCGUUAAUCGGAAUUACUGGGCGUAAAGCGUGCGCAGGCGGUUCGUUGUGUCGGUGGUGAAAUCCCCGGGCUUAACCUGGGAAUUGCAUCCGAUACUGGCGAGCUGGAGUGCGAUAGAGGGGGGUAGAAUUCCUAGUGUAGCGGUGAAAUGCGUAGAGAUCCGGAGGAACACCAGCGGCGAAGGCGGCAUCCUGGACUGGUCCUGACACUCAGGAGCGAAAGCGUGGGGAGCGAUCCGG
rnacentral:rRNA from 1 species